GUAGCUAGAUUGUUUGCUCCCUACAACAGAGGGUCCAACACCACCAGAGGGUCCAACACCAGAUUCAACAGACGAACACUGCCAGCAUCAAACAUCCAACGGACAAGCUUCACUCACUUUUUCUGUGUUCUUAGUGACCACAUUGCUACCAACACACCAACCAUACAGGAAAAAGCAGACCUGAAGGCGUCAGGGCUGGGCGAAAAAAGAAUCUCCUUCACAGGAAAUGAAGCAGACACACAGAUUUUAACUUCAACUCUAAUCGACAACUACCCAAAGCUGAAGGAGGCAGGAGGCUUUGAACUGAUGAGAAUCGGUGGCACAACAAGGUCCAGAGAGCUCUCUGUAAUUCCAUGUCCAAGUGAGGGUUACAGUAUUCGCCAUUUAAAGGCCCCAGAGACUAUGGUUGGAAGAGCCACCAUAUAUGUUUGACCACUUCAAUGCAGUCUGGACCUUGGCCCUUAUUCUCAGACCGUCCAGGGACCCAUGGUAUCGUGCAUCACGUGCCAACAGGUCUUCACCUUCACCGAUGUGAAAGGCCACAGGGAAACAUGCAAUGGGUAUGUGUGUGUUUGUGAGUGAGAACAUGUUUUUAUUGUUGUUUUUUGUAGACCUAUUUCUGGUUUAUACACUGUAAUAAAACUGAACUAUGAAGUUGUCAGAUUAGUUUAAGAUCAAAAAAGGGUACAUUUUCUUUUGUGAAAUUCUGUUGAGGUUAGAAUUAAUCAGUUUCAUCAGCCAGUUCAGAUGAACACUGGAUAUUUUUCAGUCAGUGGGACUGUAAUAAUAUCUAAUUCGUAGGAGUUUGGAUCAGGCAUCUACAAGCAAUAGUGUACCAGUGACAGCAGAGCCACAAGCAGCAUCAGCCAGCGUUGUUGCUUAUGAGCCCACAACAUCAGCUUCAAACAGUUUAAGCAGGAGAGCAAGAGGAGAAACUUCAAUGGCCACGACCAGUGAGAGAUCAGGACACCCUUUUCUAGUGGAUGACAAUGAUGUGGAGGACAAAGAAGGUUUGCAUGUUAGGAAAAAAAAACAUGGUAUACGCUUAAGUUAGGAAUAGUGAAGUAAUACAAAUUUGGCUAAAAACCGAUACAAUACAGAGUACUAUUCUAGAUUCAAAUCUAACACCUAUCCUGCUAUAGGUGGUACAGUUGAGUUCUGAAAGUUAUUGAAGCAGUUGAACCCAGGCCCUUCUCAAAAAAAUUAUUGCAUGGUGCUGACUAGUAUUCUCUUGUUUUUAACCUUACAUAAUGGCAAUAUUGGAAAUCUAUCACUGAUCCAAAGUGUGCUGCGCAAGACUUCAAAAGGGCUCUACUGGGCCAGAAUGAAUCCGAAAGACCCCUCCGUCUUAAAAUGGACCUGGCAGACAGCGAGGAGGACAGGGAGAGGGCUAUGCUGUGGUUCUACAAGGAAAAGCGCAAUUGGGCUUCUCCGCUGAAUUGUACUUUGGAAGGUGAUGCUGCUGUUGGACCUGGAGUAGUCCGCCACUUCCUCACCACAUUGAUGUCAAAAAUUCAGUUGGGAUUCAACUUGAACCUUGAUGGUCCUAGAUCGCAUCAAUUGGCCCCUUGAGAAUGACAGCGACGAGGAUGAAGACUUCAGCCUGGAGGAGAAGUGCCGCACCACCGGCUUCCUAAGGACGUUCAUAGAAAAUGCAUCAUCAACACAGCUGGCCGAACUACUAAAAUUCUGGGUCGGAUGGGAGGUCCUUCCACGAGAGAUACAUGUUGAAAUCUCACGGGCUCGAUUUCCAUCCUCAUCUACCUGCUUUGAGAGGCUGAAAUUGCCUGUCCAUUUUGAGUCCUAUGCAGACUUUGAAACAGCACUUAAAGCAUCUAUUCAGAGUGCUCACACAGGAUUCGGUCUAAUGUAACAAGGACAGUGAGGAGGAGAAAAGGGGGUUGAUGGCAGGGGUUCUUAGGGCACAAAUAGUUAAGUGUUAAAAGUCUUAGUUUGAGUCGAUCUAAUCUCUAUCAAAUUUUCAAAUAUAUUUAUAUAUUUUUUUUCUUCUGACUUGUAGGAGGGCCUACAAGCAAGUACGUCAAGUACAUUUGUUCUCAAAGUAUUGGUUCUCAAUUUUUUGUUAUCACACAAUGCUACCCAAACACAAUACCUUUAACAAACGUUGGUAGUUCCCACACCUAUCAAGGGAUCUUAUCUUUCAUCCAUCAUCCUUGAUAGAUGUUGCACGGUCUCAAGGUAGAUCUGCAUUGCAUCGGAGCAGGACUCCACUGGACCAGGCAAUGAGGCCACUUCAUCCUCAAGUUGGCGAGGCAGUUGAACCUCGGGUACAGUCACUCUGCCAUGGUGGUUGUGUGGUCCGUCCCAGUCAAUUCCAUAGUCUUCAUCCACCUGAAGUACACAAUUGAUUUCACAC